GUGCUCGCUUCAGAAGCACAUAUACUAAAAUUGGAACAAUAAAGAGACAAUUAGCAUGGCCCCUGCGCAAAAAAACAAAAUGAUUUGGACUCCUUGGCAGGUUUU
ensembl:snRNA U6 U6 spliceosomal RNA